rnacentral:tRNA from 1 species
GGGGUCGUAGCUCAAAUGGUAGAGCGCCCGCUUAGCAUGCGAUGCUGAGCACCGCAGAUAAUGUGCGGGAGGUAGGGGGAUCGAUGCCCUCCGACUCCA